rnacentral:lncRNA from 1 species
GUGUUUUUCCAAAGCCUUCCAACAGCAACAUGAAGUUGGCAGCCUUCCUCCUCCUGUGAUCCUCAUCAUCUUCAGCCUAGAGGUACAAGAGCUUCAGGCUGCAGGAGACCGGCUUUUGGGGGCCCCUUUUUACAGAUGAGAAAAGUUCCAGAAAGACCCAGAGACAUAAUCAGGUACCUGCGUCGAGCUCUGCACAGGUGACUGGGACUGCAACCCCGGAGACCACUGUGUCAGCAAUGGGUGUGGCCAUGAGUGUGUUGCAGGGUAAGGACAGAUGAAGAGUUAUCUUAAGGAUCAUCUUUCCCUAAGAUCGUCAUCCCUUCCUGGAGUUCCUAUCUUCCAAGAUGUGACUGUCUGGAGUUCCUUGACUAGGAAGAUGGAUGAAAACAGCAAGCCUGUGGAUGGAGACUACAGGGGAUAUGGGAGGCAGGGAAGAGGGGUUGUUUCUUUUAAUAAAUCAUCAUUGUUAAAAGC